rnacentral:rRNA from 1 species
CCUACGGGGGGCAGCAGUGGGGAAUAUUGCACAAUGGGGGAAACCCUGAUGCAGCAACGCCGCGUGAAGGAAGACGGUUUUCGGAUUGUAAACUUCUGUUCUUAGUGAAGAAGAAUGACGGUAGCUAAGGAGCAAGCCACGGCUAACUACGUGCCAGCAGCCGCGGUAAUACGUAGGGGGCAAGCGUUAUCCGGAAUUACUGGGUGUAAAGGGAGCGUAGACGGCAAUGCAAGUCCGGAGUGGAAUGCGGCAGCUCAACUGCCGAACUGCUCUGGAAACUGUAUGGCUUGAGUGCAGGAGGGGUAAGCGGAAUUCCUGGUGUAGCGGGGAAAUGCGUAGAUAUCAGGAGGAACACCGGUGGCGAAGGCGGCUUACUGGACUGUAACUGACGUUGAGGCUCGAAAGCGUGGGGAGCAAACAGGAUUAGAUACCCCGGUAGUC